AUGGACACGCCUCCCCAGGUGUGGUGGCUCUACUCUCUGCACAUGCUCAGAGGCGGCUCGGGUGGCCCCCUCCCCUGCCCCCAGCAUCCCUUGCCAUUUGGGAGAUGGGCUGGGGGGGAGGGCGGGAUGAGCCUUCCCCCUCCUCCCCUUGCCGGAGCCACUCCUCUCCCCCGGCCUCCCUGGCGGCCCCGGGGGCGUGGGGCGAGGCGGAGAGCCGGCCAAGGGGGAGGUGGCCCCUCCGGCAAACCCAGAAGGAGGCGAGGCUGCUGUCAGUGGCGCCGGGGGGAACGGGGACGGGGAGGAGCCGCGCCGAGGGGAAGGAGGGGGCGACCCUGGGCUGGCAAGCAGUCGCCGCCCCUCCGCCCCCUCCGCCCGCCCUGCCUGCCGUGGAAGCCGCGGCGCCGUCUGCUCCGGCUCUUCUCCUCUCCGGCGGGGCUCGGAGGGGACGAUGCAUCGGGCGGUGCUCUCCCUGGCGGCUCUGCUGGGCAGCCUCCUCCUCUGCCUCUGCCUCGCCUGGCUCUCCGCCGACGGGUCCAGCGGGGCCAGGUAAGCCAAGGCAGCCCCAGGGAUGGCAUGGCAGGGAUGGCUCGGGGAGCCGGGAGGAAGGGGCCACGACUCCACUUAAGUUUGGCUUCUCUUGCUUCCUCCCCGCUCGCUGCCCAGGGGCUGGGAGAAGGAGCUCCGGGCCACGACGGCGGAGAGCAGCCCCCGGGUCAUGAUGAUGAUGAUGAGGUCCCUCCGGUCGCCCACCGCGCCCCUCCCGCGCCCUCCCACCGGGUCGCUCGCCCCCAACAGGUGAAAAGAAAGACUGCUUUGGAGAGUCUAUAAAACCACCGUUCUCUGGCAUUUCAGGCAGGGCCUUGGAAUUGAUGUAACAAGGGGUUUGCACAACACUCUAUGACGCUCUGAAUCCUGGAAAUGUCUUCAUAUUCCCAGCAACACGUUCACACUCGGAGGCGGACUGUUACUUCUUGUCACCCCAGAUUUGGAUGGAUGUGGAGACAGGCUUUUCUUCAGCUUUGAGAACAUUCUCCCCAUCAUCCCCACCAGCGUAUGAUGCUCUGUAUGGUUUUUAAAACCUCAAAUGAAGCAGAAUUGCUCCUCCCUUGUAGCUAUUUCCUCAGCCAAUACAUGUAUUUCCUCAGCCAAUACAAAGGCAUGCCUUUGGAGAGCCUUUUUUCAGCAUUCAGCUGACAUUUUUCUAUUACUAACACGGAAGCUUCCACAGAACUGCCAAAAUACAAUAUCAGAGAAGGCUUUCUGGAUAGACUCAGAGAGAUUAAGGGUGCAAAUGGAUUUAAGGUUGCACUUCCUUUACAAUUAAUAUAGAAUUUAGUGGGUUAAGAUAGUCUGGAUGCAGGAGCUUGUGAGUCUUUUCAGUUUAAUAAAGGAAAUGAGAGGGAAUAUGUGGGCAUUUUGUUUUGCUAAAACUCCCUGAUCGGAAAAUUAGGGGGUUUUUUUGGUACCUCGUUGGCCUUCUCUGAUUGCUAUGUUAUGUCAAAGGACUUCUUAGUUCAGAAAAGUGAAAUAUUGAGUGGAUUGGCUCCAGGAUCUGAAGAAAUGGGCUCUGUUCACACUAAAUGCCUCUUUCCAUUUUUGGAAGCCCCUUCCCCCCCUCGAAUUUACCCCAUUGAGCAAGUUCCUUCAUGUAGCAAAUAAAAGAAAUAGAAUUUUCAAUUAUCUAAACCAAAGAAAAUUUGAUUUAAUCGCUCUACAAGAAUCCCACAUAAUUAAUAAGCAUACAAAAUAUUUAAUGCAAAAGAAAUUAGAGAAAGAAUACUAUGCUUUGGGAGAUGAGAAAAAAUGUGGUGUGGUAACACAUGUCAAAGAAGAAAUACCAUCUAAACUGAUCUUCAAAGACAAUAAUGGGAGAUUCAUAGGGGUAACCAUUACAAUAAAUAAUCAAACAAUUCUAAUCUGUAAUAUAUAUAUAGUCCCAGAAGGGACUCAGGGCGGCUUAUAUAUGGUGCCAGGUGCCUAAAAUUACGCAUAAAAUAAACACACAGUACAAUACAAAAUAAAACCACUAGUAUAUAAAACAAUAAUUUGAACUCAGAACAGCGCCAAUAACCUAAAGUGUCAUCUGUCAACAAUGCUGGGAGUUGCAGUCCAUUGACAUCUAGAAAGCUGUCGUUUGCUUGCCCUUGAUACAGAAUACACUCAAAGCAGUUGGUAAAACUCCCCAAAGGAAAAUCUUUCCCACCAUGGCACUGAAAGGUCAGAACAUUUCCAUAACAAGUUCACACUAAAACGUCAGUAUCAAAAGAGCUAGUUAAGCAUUCCUUUAAAAGCAAAGUGGAGCUCUCUCUUGCCCUCCCAGUUAGCAGCAGCAAGCAGCGAGAGUGUGGCCUUUCCAAGAGCUUCAAAGGCUGGCUUGUGGAUCUUAGGUUUUGCUGCAAAGAAGGUGGAACAUCUUUGAGCUAGGUGCUGAGCAAAUUGGUGACUGUGGGUCUAUUUCUAAACCCUUGGUGACCUUCUUCUCCAUUUCUUCUGAUCCCCUAAUUCUCAUUGCUUCUUUUUAUCAUCAUCUUUAUUUAUAUCCUGACUUUUCCCCAAAAGUAAGAUUGAAGGAGCUUGUGAAUGAAAAGAAAUGCAAUAGAGUUGGCCCUCCACAUUUGUAGGUUUAACUUUUGUGGACUUAUUCAUGGACUUGGAGCAAUGGGUUCAAAUUACAGGAAAGAAUAUUCCACAUGAAGAUUAGGAAGAAGUUCCUGAUUGUGAGAACUGUUCAACAGUGGAACUCUCUGCUUUGGAGUGUGGUGGAAGCUCCUUCUUUGUAGGCUUUUAAACAGAGGCUGGAUGGUCGCCUGUUGUAAGGUGCUUUGUGCUUUUCCUGCUUGGCAGACUGUAUUGGAUGACCUAUGUGGGCUCUUCCAACUCUAUGAAUUUAUUAUUCAUGACUUUGAUCAAUAUGGUCUCUAGAACUCUCUAGGUCAGUUGUUCUCAACCUGUGGGUCGCCAGGUGUUUUGUCCUACAACUCCGAGAAAUCCCAGCCAGUUUACCAGCUGUAAGGAUUUCUGGGAGUUGAAGACCAAAAUAUCUGGGGACCCACAGGUUGAGAACCACUGUUCUAGGUCCUCCAGUGGAAGUUUGCCAUAAAGUGGCAUUGGCGGACCUAGAGAUUCCUAAGGACAUGUUCUCUCAGAUAAUAAAUACAAUGUUUUUUUAUUUGCAGUUUUUCCACUUUUGCAGAGUUUAAAAUACAAUUAAAGAUGUUACAAUGCCCAAUGAUAAUCCUGCUUGGUAACAACCUGUUAGAAGACAAAAGGGAAUAUAAAGACAGAAAGCAAGCAGUCACUUCAAGCUCUCUAAAAUUAAAUUUCUCAAACCUACGACCACAUCAGAUGAGCUACUUGGCCCAUUGUACACCACUUGUUCUCCCUUUUCAGGACGGAGCCCAUUACACAAUGCACAUGUACUUCUGGCUGCGCUCCAUUCAGAAAGGGGAAAACAAGUAGCAAAUGCCACAGCCUUGGCAACACGGGAGCCUUCCCAUGUUGCCUUACCAGCAAUGGGGGGAAGCCGGGCAGCAACGCUUCUCCCCAUGGAUCACAGUAGGUCACGCAAUGUUCUCCAUGCAUCCUGCCGGGAGCCCAUGGGCCUUUGUGAUAAGGCCCUAGUGACAGCCACUGAGAAGCCCCUAUCUCACAGGUUUAUGUCACAUGCCCACAUCUGUUCCUUUUGCCUAGUGCAAGUUUUAAAUUAUUUCACUACAGCAAUCAUGCUCUAGUGUCCAGGGUUUUCUUCUGUUGAACCUCCUGCACCACACUUACUCUAUUUGAAGUGCUCAUGAACAUUUUACAUUUCAGUAGCUUCAGAAAUGACUUCAUUGUGUGUAUAUGAGUGUAUGGGUGUGAGAGAAACAGACGUUGCUGAAAGAAGCAAUAGCUAGUCGCUUAUUUUGUGUAUGUGCACGCAUUUAUGAAAUUAUCGCAUUAUUAUUUCCUUAGUUGCUCCCAUCCCGUCUCCAACAUCUUUUCCCAAAGCUGUGGAAUAAUUAGCUACAUGUAAUUAAUUAUUAACAACACUACAGAGACCUCUGCUUUCUUUCUUAUGUCAGAAUACUGUGUCCCUGAAGACAAAAUAAUUAUUAUAAAGAAGAGGAACCAUCACUUAACGCAUAAGCAAUGGACUGCUAUAUACAUUGUUCAGUAAACAUUGUAAAUCGACAACUAUCAUUAAUAUUAUUGUUUCCUUCCCAAACACUUCUUGAUGGCAGUGAUCAUAUCUGUUGGAGCAUAAGCUCCAUAGCAAACAUCUGCCAGGACACAAAUGCCCAAUUGCCAUUGAAUGGAAAACAUGGUCUGAGGAUUUCUUUCUCAGUAAAUACAUUAAUGAUGAGGCUAUUAAUUUUGUUCCAGUUCCUUGAAUCAAAAUGGAAUAACAAGAAAAAGAUUUACUGCUAUGGCACUGUCUCUACACAGUUACCGUACAUGUUUAUAUUUUUGCAAAUCCAUUACAAGCUGUCUAAUGUAUUGCAUGCCAAAGAGUGCCAUGUGGGCAAAUCCAAAACUUGGAAAGUUACUUGGAAUACAAAUGAAUGUAGAAGUCAGUUGUUGAUAACUGAGUAGUAAUAGGAUGGUUAUCUAAGAAUCAAAGCAUCAUCCUACUGUUGCUUAGAUAUAUGCAUGCCACUGUGUUCAUUCUUCAUAGAAUUAAUAUUCUGAGGCCAUGCCACCAUCACAUUUACAGGGUUGCCAGCCUUUGGGAUGGCCUCUCUCCAAUGCUCACUUUCCUAGAAGUAGGGGAAUCAGAAGUGAGGAUUUUUAAUCCAGACCUGAAAGUCCCUGGCUGAAAUGCCAAAUAAGGAGAGGAGUGGGUUUAUUUUAAAACGGAGCUUAGAUGAAAUACUUGCAAUAUUUCAUUCCCCCUGAAAGACCUGGAUGAAGAGUCUCUGAACACGCGUAAGCAUGCUCUACUCCAGAAUAUGCAAUUGCUAUCUCCCAGAUGUUGCUGGACUACAACAUCAACCUAUUCUGUCCCAUACAAAUCCUUAUAUCAAGAGAAAGGUGGAAUAAAAAUUAAUAAUUGUCACUGAUGCAGGAUGAUAGGCAGUGCAAUGGAGUUACAUCUUGAGGAGCACAUUUGGCUGAUUCUUGCCUAUGGAAACAAGAAUGGGUCUCCGUAGAGAAAGAUGUCAUCGCAUUCUUGCUAAGCACUG
ensembl:lncRNA